UACAGAGGUCUCAAGCGUUGUUCGGAUUCAUUGGGCGUAAAGGGUGCGUAGGCGGCGCGGUAAGUCGGGUGUGAAAUCUCGGAGCUUAACUCCGAAACUGCAUUCGAUACUGCCGUGCUUGAGGACUGGAGAGGAGACUGGAAUUUACGGUGUAGUGGUGAAAUGCGUAGAGAUCCGGAAGAACACCAGUGGCGAAGGCGGCACCCUGGACCAGCACUGACACUGAGGCACGAAAGCGUGGGGAGCAAACAGG
rnacentral:rRNA from 1 species